GGGGUAAUGGCCUACCAAGGCGACGACGGGUAGCCGGCCUGAGAGGGUGAUCGGCCCACUGGGACUGAGACACGGCCCAGACUCCUACGGGAGGCAGCAGUGGGGAAUAUUGCACAAUGGGCGAAAGCCUGAUGCAGCGACGCCGCGUGGGGGAUGACGGUCUUCGGAUUGUAAACCCCUUUCAGUAGGGACGAAGCGCAAGUGACGGUACCUGCAGAAGAAGCACCGGCUAACUACGUGCCAGCAGCCGCGGUAAUACGUAGGGUGCGAGCGUUGUCCGGAAUUACUGGGCGUAAAGAGCUCGUAGGCGGUUUGUCACGUCGUCUGUGAAAUCCCUCGGCUUAACCGGGGGCGUGCAGGCGAUACUGUCGGGCUAGAGGUAGGUAGGGGAGAUCGGAAUUCCUGGUGUAGCGGUGAAAUGCGCAGAUAUCAGGAGGAACACCGGUGGCGAAGGCGGAUCUCUGGGCCUUACCUGACGCUCAGGCGCGAAAGCUAGGGGAGCAAACAGGAUUAGAUACCCUGGUAGUCCUAGCCGUAAACGUUGGGUGCU
rnacentral:rRNA from 1 species